UACCAGACACCCGAGCCUUACCAGACACCCAAGCCUUACCAGACACCCAAG
rnacentral:scRNA from 1 species